GAUAUACUCCCUCCGUCCCAAAAUUCUCGUCUUAUAUUUGUCUAGAUAUGGAUGUAUCUAAUACUAAAACGUGACUUGAUACAUCCGUAUUUAGACAAAUCAAAGAUAAGAAUUUUAGGACAAAGGGAGUAGAUA
rfam:Triticum aestivum genome assembly, contig: Triticum_aestivum_CS42_TGACv1_scaffold_408090_5BL